rnacentral:rRNA from 1 species
CCUACGGGAGGCUGCAGUCGAGGAUCAUUCGCAAUGGGCGAAAGCCUGACGAUGCGACGCUGCGUGGAGGAUGAAGGCCUUCGGGUUGUAAACUCCUGUCAUGAGGGAAGAGGAGAGUGUCACUAACAUUGACGCGAUUUGACGGUACCUCAAGAGGAAGCCACGGCUAACUCUGUGCCAGCAGCCGCGGUAAUACAGAGGUGGCGAGCGUUGUUCGGAUUUACUGGGCGUAAAGGGCGCGUAGGCCGCGCGGUAUGUAGGGUGUGAAAUCUCCGGGCCCAACCCGGAAAGUGCGCCCUAAACUGCCGCGCUCGAGUGCGGGAGGGGAGAUCGGAAUGCAUGGUGUAGCGGUGAAAUGCGUUGAUAUCAUGCAGAACACCGGUGGCGAAGGCGGAUCUCUGGAACGCAACUGACGCUGAGGCGCGAAAGUGUGGGGAGCAAACAGGAUUAGAUACCCGAGUAGUC